rnacentral:rRNA from 1 species
GACGAACGCUGGCGGCGUGCUUAACGCAUGCAAGUCGAACGGUAAGGCCCUUCGGGGUACACGAGUGGCGAACGGGUGAGUAACACGUGGGUGAUCUGCCCUGCACUUCGGGAUAAGCCUGGGAAACUGGGUCUAAUACCGGAUAGGACCACUGCCUGCAUGGGUGGUGGUGGAAAGCUUUUGCGGUGUGGGGUGGGCCCGCGGCCUAUCAGCUUGUUGGUGGGGGGAGGGCCUCCCAAUGCGAAGACGGGUAGCCCGCCUGAGAGGGUGACCGACCACACUGGGACUGAGAUACGGCCCAGACUCCUACGGGGGGCAGCAGUGGGGAAUAUUGCACAAUGGGCGCAAGUCUGAUGCAGAGACGCCGCGUGAGGGAUGACGGCCUUCGGGUUGUAAACCUCUUUCAGCACCGACGAAGCGCAAGUGACGGUAGGUGCAGAAGAAGGACCGGCCAACUACGUGCCAGCCGCCGCCGUAA